AGUGAACGCUGGCGGUAGGCCUAACACAUGCAAGUCGAACGGCAGCACAGGAGAGCUUGCUCUCUGGGUGGCGAGUGGCGGACGGGUGAGGAAUACAUCGGAAUCUACUCUGUCGUGGGGGAUAACGUAGGGAAACUUACGCUAAUACCGCAUACGACCUACGGGUGAAAGCAGGGGACCUUCGGGCCUUGCGCGAUUGAAUGAGCCGAUGUCGGAUAGCUAGUUGGCGGGGUAAAGGCCCACCAAGGCGACGAUCCGUAGCUGGUCUGAGAGGAUGAUCAGCCACACUGGAACUGAGACACGGUCCAGACUCCUACGGGAGGCAGCAGUGGGGAAUAUUGGACAAUGGGCGCAAGCCUGACCCAGCCAUACCGCGUGGGUGAAGAAGGCCUUCGGGUUGUAAAGCCCUUUUGUUGGGAAAGAAAUCCAGCUGGCUAAUACCCGGUUGGGAUGACGGUACCCAAAGAAUAAGCACCGGCUAACUUCGUGCCAGCCGCCGCAGUAA
rnacentral:rRNA from 1 species